rnacentral:rRNA from 1 species
UGGAUAAGACAUGCAAGUCGAACGGGAUUACGUUUGUAGCAAUACAAAUGUGGUCCAGUGGCAAACGGGUGCGUAACACGUGAGCAAUCUGCCGGGAAGUGGGGGAUAGCUCGCCGAAAGGCGAAUUAAUACCGCAUAUGGCCAGGGAGGACAUCCUUCCGAAGCCAAAGUCGCAAGACGCUUCCUGAUGAGCUCGCGGCCUAUCAGCUAGUUGGUGAGGUAACGGCUCACCAAGGCUAUGACGGGUAGCUGGUCUGAGAGGACGACCAGUCACACUGGAACUGAGACACGGUCCAGACACCUACGGGUGGCAGCAGUCGAGAAUUUUUCACAAUGGGGGAAACCCUGAUGGAGCGACGCCGCGUGGAGGACGGAAGCCUUCGGGUCGUAAACUCC